rnacentral:rRNA from 1 species
GUGGGGAAUUUUGCGCAAUGGAGGCAACUCUGACGCAGCAACGCCGCGUGCGGGAUGAAGGCCCUCGGGUUGUAAACCGCUUUCAGCAGGGAAGACUUCGACUGUACCUGCAGAAGAAGCCCCGGCUAACUACGUGCCAGCAGCCGCGGUAAUACGUAGGGGGCGAGCGUUAUCCGGAUUCAUUGGGCGUAAAGCGCGCGUAGGCGGCUCGCCAAGCGGGAUCUCAAACCUGAGGGCUCAACCCCCAGCAGGAUCCCGGACUGGCGGGCUCGAGUUCGGUAGGGGAAGGCGGAACUCCCAGUGUAGCGGUGAAAUGCGCAGAUAUUGGGAGGAACACCGAUGGCGAAGGCAGCCUUCUGGGCCGUAACUGACGCUGAGGUGCGAAAGCUAGGGGAGCGAACAGGAUUAGAAACCCUAGUAGUCC